rnacentral:rRNA from 1 species
UACGUAGGAUGCAAGCGUUGUCCGGAAUUAUUGGGCGUAAAGCGAACGUAGGCGGUUUCUUAAAGAUUGGGUCUUAAAGACCGGGGCUCAACCCCGGGGAAUGGAUCGAUAACUGGGAGACUGGAGGACGUCAGAGGAAAGUGGAAUUCCGAGUGUAGCGGUGAAAUGCGUAGAUAUUCGGAGGAACACCAGUGGCGAAAGCGACUUCUGGGACGUUCCUGACGCUGAGGUUCGAAAGCGUGGGU